rnacentral:rRNA from 1 species
GAUGAACGCUGGCGGCGUGCCUAAUACAUGCAAGUCGAGCGAACGGACGAGAAGCUUGCUUCUCUGAUGUUAGCGGCGGACGGGUGAGUAACACGUGGAUAACCUACCUAUAAGACUGGGAUAACUUCGGGAAACCGGAGCUAAUACCGGAUAAUAUUUUGAACCGCAUGGUUCAAAAGUGAAAGACGGUCUUGCUGUCACUUAUAGAUGGAUCCGCGCUGCAUUAGCUAGUUGGUAAGGUAACGGCUUACCAAGGCAACGAUGCAUAGCCGACCUGAGAGGGUGAACCGCCACACUGGGACUGAGACACGGUCCAGACUCCGACGGGAGGCAGCAGUAGGGAAUCUUCCGCAAUGGGCGGAAGCCUGACGGAGCAACGCCGCGUGAGUGAUGAAGGUCUUCGGAUCGUAAAACUCUGUUAUUAGGGAAGAACAUAUGUGUAAGUAACUGUGCACAUCUUGACGGUACCUAAUCAGAAAGCCACGGCUAACUACGUG